rnacentral:rRNA from 1 species
UGAGGAAUAUUGGGCAAUGCCCGCAAGGGUGACCCAGCAACGCCGCGUGGAGGAUGAAUGUCGUAAGAUUGUAAACUCCUGUUAGAGGGGAAGAAUAGUACCGGUUGGACCGGUAUAUGACUGUACCCUCAGAGAAAGCCCCGGCUAACUUCGUGCCAGCAGCCGCGGUAAUACGUAGGGGGCAAGCGUUGUCCGGAUUUACUGGGUGUAAAGGGCGCGCAGGCGGGAUAAAAAGUCAGUGGUGAAAUCCUACAGCUUAACUGUAGAACUGCCUUUGAUACUUUUAUUCUUGAGUUCGGGAGAGAGAGACGGAAUUCCAGGUGUAGUGGUGAAAUACGUAGAUAUCUGGAAGAACACCAGUUGCGAAGGCGGUCUCUUGGUCCGACACUGACGCUGAGGCGCGAAAGCGUGGGGAGCAAACA